GCACAAGCGGUGGAUGAUGUGGUUUAAUUCGAUGCAACGCGAAAACCUUACCACCUUGACAUGGCAGGAAUCCUGAAGAGAUUUGGGAGUGCUCGAAAGAGAACCUGCACACAGGUGCUGCAUGGCUGUCGUCAGCUCGUGUCGUGAGAUGUUGGGUUAAGUCCCGCAACGAGCGCAACCCUUGCCAUUAGUUGCUACGAAAGGGCACUCUAAUGGGACUGCCGGUGACAAACCGGAGGAAGGUGGGGAUGACGUCAAGUCCUCAUGGCCCUUAUAGGUGGGGCUACACACGUCAUACAAUGGCCGGUACAGAGGGUAGCCAACCCGCGAGGGGGAGCCAAUCCCACAAAGCCGGUCGUAGUCCGGAUCGCAGUCUGCAACUCGACUGCGUGAAGUCGGAAUCGCUAGUAAUCGCGGAUCAGCAUGUCGCGGUGAGUACGUUCCCGGGUCUU
rnacentral:rRNA from 1 species